rnacentral:rRNA from 1 species
CAGCCGCCACGGUAAUACAGAGGGUGCGAGCGUUAAUCGGAUUUACUGGGCGUAAAGCGUGCGUAGGCGGCUUCUUAAGUCGGAUGUGAAAUCCCUGAGCUUAACUUAGGAAUUGCAUUAGAUACUGGGAAGCUAGAGUAUGGGAGAGGAUGGUAGAAUUCCAGGUGUAGCGGUGAAAUGCGUAGAGAUCUGGAGGAAUACCGAUGGCGAAGGCAGCCAUCUGGCCUAAUACUGAUGCUGAGGUACGAAAGCAUGGGGAGCAAACAGGAUUAGAUACCCGCGUAGUCCCUGUCUCUUAUAC